UGGGGAAUAUUGCGCAAUGGGGGGGAACCCUGACGCAGCCAUGCCGCGUGAAUGAAGAAGGCCUUAGGGUUGUAAAGUUCUUUCGGUAUUGAGGAAGGUUGAUGUGUUAAUAGCACAUCAAAUUGACGUUAAAUACAGAAGAAGCACCGGCUAACUCCGUGCCAGCAGCCGCGGUAAUACGGAGGGUGCGAGCGUUAAUCGGAAUAACUGGGCGUAAAGGGCACGCAGGCGGUUAUUUAAGUGAGGUGUGAAAGCCCCGGGCUUAACCUGGGAAUUGCAUUUCAGACUGGGUAACUAGAGUACUUUAGGGAGGGGUAGAAUUCCACGUGUAGCGGUGAAAUGCGUAGAGAUGUGGAGGAAUACCGAAGGCGAAGGCAGCCCCUUGGGAAUGUACUGACGCUCAUGUGCGAAAGCGUGGGGAGCAAACAGGAUUAGAUACCCUGGUAGUCCACGCUGUAAACGCUGUCGAUUUGGGGGUUGGGGUUUAACUCUGGCGCCCGUAGCUAACGUGAUAAAUCGACCGCCUGGGGAGUACGANCCGCAAGGUUA
rnacentral:rRNA from 1 species